ensembl:snRNA U6 U6 spliceosomal RNA
GUGCUUGUCUUGGCAGCACACAUACUAAAAUUGGAACGAUACAGGAAAGCCUAGCAUGGUCCCCGUGCGAGGGUAAAACUUGGUUUUUAGGAAUAUUAAGCAGAAUU